CAGUUGCCCCCUGUCUCUCCUUGGCUAUGUCUAUGCUUGAGGGUGAUCAAGUUCAACCCCCUGUAUUGCAGGGAUCUCAGAUAAAGAAUCCAUGACAGAUGGCCAUCCAAACUCUGCUUAAAAACCUCCAAGGAUGUCCAUGUUUAUAUGCCUCUGAACUGCAUUAGGACAUUUGUGUAAAAGGCCUUGCUUGACCACUGUGACUCACCUAACAUCGCAAUGACCACCUGUCACCUUCCAUCACCUGUCAUCACAGCCACAUCUUUACCUAGUCCAUACCUGACAUCAUAUAUGAGAUUAGGUGCAGGGCAGCUAGGUGUGGCUGUAGCCAAACAGUUUCAAGGGCCAAAUGGGGAGCUCUGGAGAGCAAGGGAUCAGAAGUUCUCCACCACUGAUAUAUUGGAGGGAGCAUGGCCAUGUGCACUAACUGGACCAUCCCCAUCUCCACGGGCUGCAGCUUCACACCUUCGUGCAUUGGGUGGGAGGGCCAAAGGAGGAUUCCUUGUGAGUUCAGGUGAACAUGUGAAUAAUCCUCUCUAGAAAAGAGAGCUCCAAUCAUGCAAAGUUCCUGAUUGUGUAGAUGAGUCUACCAACAUUCAGCCAAACUGCCCUUCUGACAUGACCCAAUGGAUGAGGAUUCUGGGAUUCUGGGGACAGAGCCAAUCUUCCCCUUUCAUGUAUUCUUUGAAGGCACAAGGGAAAUAGCAGGUUAAAAGGGUUCCUUCAUUUUGCUGGUAUCUAUCUGGUUUGGUCGUUUUCUAUUUUAUUUAUUUAUUAAACAAUUAUGGCCUUGAAUGUUCCAUA